rnacentral:rRNA from 1 species
AUACCGGGCCUUUUUGGGCUUGGUAAUUGGAAUGAGGGAGAGUUAAACGGACCAUCGAGUAUCCAUUGGAGGGCAAGUCUGGUGCCAGCAGCUGCGGUAAUACCAGCUCCAAUAGCGUAUAUUAAAGUUGUUGCAGUUAAAAAGCUCGUAGUUGGACUUGUGUGCGCUGUCCGCGGGUGGCCUGCGCCCAAAAGGGCGUUUCGGUUCGGCCCCGGUGGCGCCUUGAAAUCUGCAGCUGGGGGGACGUUGGCCUUAACUGGUCGGCGACCGCACGCCGGCUGCUCGGUUACUGUGAGAAAAUUAGAGUGUUCAAGGCAGGCAUUGGGUGCAAUUGAAUACAUUAGCAUGGAAUAAUAAAAUAUGGCUCCUGCCGUAUUUUGUUGGUUUUGACUGGUGGGAGUAAUGAUUGAUAGGGACGGUUGGGGGUGCUAGUAUUGAGCGGCCAGAGGUGAAAUUCAUGGAUUCGCUCAAGACUAACUUAUGCGAAAGCAUUCACCAAGGACGUCCUCUUUAAUCAAGAACGAAAGUUGGGGGAUCGAAGACGAUCAGAUACCGUCGUAGUCUCAACCAUAAACUAUGUCGACUUGGGAUCGGCGGUAGUUUUUUCAUUAAGACACUGUCGGGACCACGGGAGAAAUCAAAGUGUCUGGACUCUGGGGGAAGUAUGGUCGCAAGGCUGAAACUUGAAGGAAUUGACGGAAGGGCACCACCAGGAGUGGAGCCUGCGGCUUAAUUUGACCCAACACGGGGAAACUUACCAGGUCCAGAGAUGUAGAGGAUUGACAGAUUGAAGCUCUUUCUUGAUCACUUCGGUGGCGGUGCAUGGCCGUUCUUAGUUGGUGGAGUGAUUUGUCUGAUUAAUUCCGUUAACGAACGAGACCUCAGCCUGCUAGUGUAGUCGGCUGGAUUGCCUUUGGCGAUCCGUGAUUUCGACUUCUUAGAGGGACAAUCGACGCGCAGUCGAUGGAAGUUUGAGGCAAUAACAGGUCUGUGAUGCCCUUAGAUGUUCUGGGCCGCACGCGCGCUACACUGCUGGGCUCAGCGAGUUUUACUUGGCCGAGAGGCCCGGUUAAUCUUGUGAAAUCCCAGCGUGCUUGGGCUCGCCUCCUGCAACUGGAGGCGCCAACGAGGAAUUCCUAGUAGACGCAGGUCAUCAACCUGCAUCGAUUACGUCCCUGCCCUUUGUACACACCGCCCGUCGUUCCAUAAGAGUGAGGCAUCCGGUGAAUUCUCGGGAGAGCCUGGGCGUGGCCAGCAAUGGUCUGCUCGGGUUUGAACUUGCAUAAACUUGGUGCCUAUGAUUAGGG